AUUGAACGCUGGCGGCAGGCCUAACACAUGCAAGUCGAACGAGUGGCGGACGGGUGAGUAAUGUCUGGGCAACUGCCCGAUGGAGGGGGAUAACUACUGGAAACGGUAGCUAAUACCGCAUACCAUCGGAUGUGCCCAGAUGGGAUUAGCUAGUAGGUGGGGUAACGGCUCACCUAGGCGACGAUCCCUAGCUGGUCUGAGAGGAUGACCAGCCAAACUGGAGCUGAGACACGGUCCAGAAUCCUACGGGAGGCAGCAGUGGGGAAUAUUGCACAAUGGGGGCAAGCCUGAUGCAGCCAUGCCGCGUGUAUGAAGAAGGCCUUCGGGUUGUAAAGUACUUUCAGCGGGGAGGCGUUACCCGCAGAAAAAGCACCGGCUAACUCCGUGCCAGCAGCCGCGGUAAUAU
rnacentral:rRNA from 1 species